rfam:Pteropus alecto contig72089, whole genome shotgun sequence.
GUCUAUGGCAUGCCACCCUGAACAAGCCUGAUGUCUGAUCUCCGAAGCUAAGUAGGGUCAGGAGUGGUUAGUACUUGGAUGGGUGACCACCAAGGAAGACCAGGUGCUGUAGGCA